GGUUUCGCCGAGAUCGUCGUUCGCCGGCACGUCUUCUACUUCCUCGUCGUAAAAACCUCAUCUUUCCACCGUUUUUUCUGUCCUCCUCCCGAAAUAGAAGUCUUUUAAAGGCUCGCCACGUCGUUAGCUUCUCCUAGUCAUCGUUAUAUAAGCUAGGAUGACCAGUCAUUCUGCGUUCCCGGACCAUUCCCUCAUAUCUAAACAUUCUCAAAUACUCGAUAUACAUGCAAAACCAAGGAAUGCGUCCAUAGGUCUUUCACGGGGUGCUUACAGAUUCAUUGCUCAGGAAGCAGGAAAGAGACCAAAAGGACAAGUAUCUUUAAUACCUCUGGAAGUUAUGUGGAGUUAUGCAAUAAUGUUCCACUCGAAUUCCACUUCGUACUAGGGACCUCUCUGGAGCGCAUACAGCGACAGUCGACCGCUGUAUGUGUGCAGACGUAGUAUAAGCUUAUGCAUUGUGAAUUUGACAAAAUGUAACAUUUAUAUUUUGGUAUUUGAUAUAAAAGUAAACACGCGGCUGAUGCAUCGAUUUCAUUAUUAACGAAAUCUGAGCCUGACACAGCCAUAACACAGCAUAUUGUUUGCUAUAAACUUUUUUACAGGAUCAUUAUCACAGUUGUCGUUGGAUUAAUGUGGAUUUUUUCUACUAAAAAUGUGAGUUGUUUUCGCAAUCGAAAAAUGGACUGCCAAAUGGAAUAUGGCCAUUAACUCCUCAAAGUCAGCCUGUGUAACUUUUUCCCUGC